rnacentral:rRNA from 1 species
AGUAGAACGCUGAAGCUUGGUGCUUGCACCGAGCGGAUGAGUUGCGAACGGGUGAGUAACGCGUAGGUAACCUGCCUCUUAGCGGGGGAUAACUAUUGGAAACGAUAGCUAAUACCGCAUAAAAGUCGAUAUCGCAUGAUAUUGAUUUGAAAGGUGCAAUUGCAUCACUAAGAGAUGGACCUGCGUUGUAUUAGCUAGUUGGUGAGGUAACGGCUCACCAAGGCGACGAUACAUAGCCGACCUGAGAGGGUGAUCGGCCACACUGGGACUGAGACACGGCCCAGACUCCUACGGGAGGCAGCAGUAGGGAAUCUUCGGCAAUGGGGGCAACCCUGACCGAGCAACGCCGCGUGAGUGAAGAAGGUUUUCGGAUCGUAAAGCUCUGUUGUAAGAGAAGAACGAGUGUGAGAGUGGAAAGUUCACACUGUGACGGUAACUUACCAGAAAGGGACGGCUAACUACGUGCCAGCAGCCGCGGUAAUACGUAGGUCCCGAGCGUUAUCCGGAUUUAUUGGGCGUAAAGCGAGCGCAGGCGGUUAGAUAAGUCUGAAGUUAAAGGCUGUGGCUUAACCAUAGUACGCUUUGGAAACUGUUUAACUUGAGUGCAGAAGGGGAGAGUGGAAUUCCAUGUGUAGCGGUGAAAUGCGUAGAUAUAUGGAGGAACACCGGUGGCGAAAGCGGCUCUCUGGUCUGUAACUGACG